GGAAUGAGUAAAGUGGCGCACGGGUGAGUAACGCGUAGAUAAUCUACCCUAGUGUCCGGGACAACAUCGGGAAACUGGUGCUAAUACCGGGUAAUCUUCAUUGGUUGCGAGAUUGUGAAGGAAAGGUGGGGCCUCUUCAGAAGCUGUCACCUAAGGAUGAGUCUGCGUACCAUUAGCUAGUUGGUGGGGUAAUGGCCUACCAAGGCGACGAUGGUUAGCUGGUCUGAGAGGAUGGCCAGCCACACUGGAACUGAAACACGGCCCAGACUCCUACGGGAGGCAGCAGUGGGGAAUUUUGCGCAAUGGGGGAAACCCUGACGCAGCGACGCCGCGUGAGUGACGAAGGCCUUCGGGUCGUAAAACUCUGUCAAUAGGGAAGAAGUGUUUAGUAGUUAAUACUUACUAGAUUUGACGGUACCUAUAAAGGAAGCACCGGCUAAAUCCGUGCCAGCAGCCGCGGUAAUACGGAUGGUGCGAGCGUUGUUCGGAAUUACUGGGCGUAAAGGGCGCGUAGGCGGCCUUAUAAGUCAGGUGUGAAAGCCCACGGCUCAACCGUGGACGUGCAUCUGAAACUGUAGGGCUUGAGUACUGGAGGGGAGUGUGGAAUUCCUGGUGUAGAGGUGAAAUUCGUAGAGAUCAGGAGGAAUACCGGUGGCGAAGGCGACACUCUGGACAGAUACUGACGCUGAGGCGCGAAAGCGUGGGGAGCAAACAGGAUUAGAUACCCUGGUAGUCCACGCCGUAAACGAUGAGUACUAGGUGUUGCGGGUAUUGACCCCUGCAGUGCCGGAGCUAACGCAUUAAGUGCCCCGCCUGGGGAGUACGGUCGCAAGACUAAAACUCAAAGGAAUUGACGGGGGCCCGCCCAAGCGGUGGAGCAUGUGGUUUAAUUCGAAGCAACGCGCAGAACCUUACCUGGGUUUGACAUCCCGA
rnacentral:rRNA from 1 species